UUCAUCAUCCAUGUAUAGGUUCUGUGUUUUCAUCAUUAUUGUAUCACAAUUAUGUUGCAAAGUUGGCCUGUCCCUCACUGAUGAACUAACUUGUUUCGAGUCUUUCGACCCCAAUCACUAGGUUCGGUAAACAGCUAGCUCUAACUCAAAAGUCUUGUUUUGAUUGAGACCCCAGUCAGUAGGUUCGACAAGAUAAGCAGCUAGCUCUAACUCAAAAGUCCUGCAUAGAGGAGGAUCUAGGCAUGUAUGUACUACACAAACCCAAGCUUCUGAGUAAUCACAUCUGAACGGUUAUCAGUCUACACCACAAUAUUUUACCAUAAAUACGAGAACAUAAUAAGAGCCGAGGCUAUACACAAGUCUCUCAUCGUAUCCGAAAAAAUUUGUGCAGAUCCCUUUUUUUUCGUUUUUACACUAUACACAUCUUCUGCGAAGAGAUCACAUCUGCAAAUUUUUCUUUCAUUUUUCUGAUAGAAGGGAGAUUUAUAGGAGAGUGGCGUAUCCAUAGUAUUAAGCGAUGCACUUGAGAAAUCAAUGAUUAGACAAAUCAAAUGUGCAGGCCAAUUUAUCUGUUAGUUGCCAGUAGGGACACAUUCUACAAACCAAAGACUUGGCCGUCCUUGAGAUAAGGUUAGAAGGUUAGAACUCUAGUAGCGACAUGGUUCAUCACGUGGGGUUGGUCCCAUUUUUUUCGGAAUAAUGUCCUGACAGCAACUCAAUAUCCUGGCUUCUUCUGCUGCUGAUUAGGAAUGGCCAUGUCUGUCCACUAGAGGCCUUGCACGGAUGACCGUUUGACGUUUUAUGUGAAAGCAGUGGCGGAAUCAUAUUCCAGAUCAGGCAAGGCAAGAAGCUAAGUUUACGCAACUUCGUUACAGGAUGACCACAUACUAAGACGAGACGACAAGAUACUGCUACAGGGUGCCCCAUGUAUUCUUGUAUGGAGACAUGCAGAUGUAUGCAGAUAUGUCAAGACUCUUGAAACCAAUCCUUUUGAUAAAUAUCAGCAACAAUACAAACAGAGUAGGGCUGCUAUGUUUUUCAUUCUCAUACAUCAGAUGGUCCCAGACAUUAUGGAACCAAUAAUCUCCACCACAUAUCUCGAAUUUCGCUAGGUAUUUAAGCCCUCAGUCCCCUGCACAACCAUUCAAGCCACUUUGAAAAUUUUCAAGAGUUUUAAGUUUUAACAUUUGUUGAGGAAGUAGAAGCUGGUGCUAUGGCAGCAAAUUCUUUCUCGAUUGGAUGCGCCAAGGCUCGGUCAUGGGAGAGAUGUUCUAAGAGAAUCAAACAGCAGAGGGCUAGAGUUUAUAUCAUAUGGAGAUGCACUGUUUUGCUUAUGAACUGGCAUGAGUAAUUGCUGCUUCUGAUAUGCUAAUUUCUGGACAGAGUGAAAGAUUAAGCUGAGGCGCGGCGCUGCUCUUUCGGGCAGAGGUUCGCCCGGACUAUUCUGUUGGCGCUAGGGGUUGUCUUAAGUUACGAAAAUAAGUACUUAUUUCGGAGUAUAAGUCAUCAAAGAGCUAGCUCAGUGAACUUGCCUGCCUGCCAUUGUGUCAAACCAGUUCUAAACAGUUAUUGUUGCCAGUGAGUCUACUAUUCAGAUGUGAUCUAUGAAAUUGAAGGAGGCUUUUUGCUUAAGUUACAGACUGAUGUCGGAUAUACAUAGGUAUCAGAAUUAUAUCUAGUUUUGAGUAGAGAAACUACAUGUGUACUCUAGUUACUUUGAAGUUAGAAUAUAUUUGAAGCAAUGACUUAACUUCCUGUACACUCAGACUUGUUCUUGUUUUGCUCUGUUCCAUUGCAGAAGAACACUGUUGUAUAA